UACGAGAGGUCCAAACGUUAUUCGGAAUUACUGGGCUUACAGAGUUCGUAGGCGGCUCUACAAGUGAGGUGUGAAAUCCCACGGCUCAACCGUGGAACUGCUUGGCAUACUGGCGGUCUUGAGCAACCUAGGGGCGAGCGGAACAAAUGGUGGAGCGGUGAAAUGCGUAGAUAUCAUUUGGAACGCCAAUGGUGAAAACAGCUCGCUGGGGGUUUGCUGACGCUGAGACACGAAAGCCAGGGGAGCAAACGGG
rnacentral:rRNA from 1 species